AACGAACGCUGGCGGCAGGCUUAACACAUGCAAGUCGAACGCUCGUAGCAAUACGGGAGUGGCGGACGGGUGAGUAACGCGUGGGAACGUGCCCUGAGGUACGGAAUAACUGAGGGAAACUUCAGCUAAUACCGUAUGAGCCCCGAGAGGGGAAAGAUUUAUCGCCUUGGGAGCGGCCCGCGUCGGAUUAGCUAGUUGGUGGGGUAACGGGCCUACCAAGGCUUCGAUCCGUAGCUGGUCUGAGAGGACGAUCAGCCACACUGGGACUGAGACACGGCCCAGACUCCUACGGGAGGCAGCAGUGGGGAAUCUUGCGCAAUGGGGGCAACCCUGACGCAGCCAUGCCGCGUGAACGAUGAAGGCCUUAGGGUUGUAAAGUUCUUUUACCCGUGACGAUGAUGACGGUAACGGGGGGAAUAAGCUCCGGCUAAACUUCGUG
rnacentral:rRNA from 1 species